rnacentral:rRNA from 1 species
UACGGAGGGGGCGAGCGUUAUUCGGAAUUAUUGGGCGUAAAGGGCGCGUAGGCGGCUUGAUGUGUCAAAGGUGAAAUCCCUCGGCUCAACUGAGGAACUGCCUUUGAAACUGUCUGGCUUGAGGCCGGGAGAGGGUAACGGAAUUCCCAGUGUAGCGGUGAAAUGCGUAGAUACUGGGAGGAACACCGGUGGCGAAGGCGGCUACCUGGACCGGUUCUGACGCUGAUGCGCGAAAGCGUGGGUAGCAAACAGG